ACUCUCUUCUCUAAGGACUUUGAGUCUCAGGUCGUUGUAUGCAUUGGAUUUUGACCCUCUUCAACAAUCUAGUACUACACGGCCCUUCUUCCCAUCUCUUGAGAGUUUGAUCCUCGACUCUUGCAUAAAGGUGAAAGGAUGGUGGAGAAGGAGGGAAGUGAUGAUAGCAUAUCAAAAGCAUCAAUCAAACAAUUCACGGCUAUUCUUCCCAAAACUACGGUUUGUGGAUAUAGAAUACUGUCCCAGCUUGAAUUUCGUGCCACCAUUCCCCCAGGUGGAAUACUUGGAGAUAGAUAACAUAACAAUGUUGGAGCAACAAUUCUUGGCCAAUCCAAAUCAUCCAUCAGCCCCUUUCUCUAAACUAAAGCAUCUAUGUCUUCGGUAUGGAAGUUUGGAGCCGAUACUUGAGACUCUACUUCGAUUGGCCAAUAAUCUCGAGUCCAUGAGACUCUAUCAUUGCAACUUAAAGGGUCUCUUUCAUGGCAUGCAGCACCUUUCCUCGCUCCAGGAGCUCCACAUUACGGGAUGUGAAGGACUCAACUUAGUGUGCCAAGAAGACGAGCAAGGCAUCCAAUGGCAAUUCCUUACAAAACUUCGUGUUCUUAGAAUCUUCAAUCUUCAUGAUUUGGAAGCAUUGCCUGAAUGGAUUCGACAUGCCACGAAUUUGCAAUCUCUUGAGAUUUCUUAUUGUCGGAAUCUAAGGAGUUUGCCGGAAUGGAUUAAAAAUUUCUCAUUGCUGGAAGAGCCUGUAAUAUAUGGUUGUCCAAGAUUAACAGAUGAGCACAGUAGAGGAGAUGAAUCGGAACGAUUAGCACAGUAGAGCGCAUAUAUUUAUCAAAAGAAGGAUAGCGUCCCUCCACUCCGCUCCAGCUCGCCACCAUCUUCCUCGUUAUGUCGCGCGUGUAGAACAAACACCACCCUUUGCCUCCUCGUCUUGCUCGUACAACCUCCUCACUCCCCUCCCCUCCUUCACCUCCUUCAUCUCCUCCAUCACCGCCGCCGGAGGAACCCCGCAUCCUCUCGAUCGCCUCCUUCCUCUUUGGCCGUGUCCGCCGAGGUCGAUGAUCGGGAAGCUAAGAUUCUCGGAUCCGCCGCUCGAUUCGGAUGUCUCGUGCGGUCGGAUGAAGAAAUCCUGGGGAUUUCGGUGAUCCCGGCGUCGACGAGGCCUUGACGCCGGGUUUCGAGUCGUCGCUCGCUCUGUUGUAGCUCUCUGCUCGCCGGAGUCGGAGGCCAAAUCGAUGCUUGAAAUCAGGAAGUGCAGAAGCUCCGUACAGGCCUUUGGAAAUGUAAUGGGCAGUGUAGUUUGGGAGCGUAGUCUCCUCGUAGAUUGGUGGGUUGUCUGCUGAUGUUAAUUCCUUCAUGGGCCCAUACAAUCGUGAAGAUGGUCGGGAGUGUCGCCGAAGAAGCACGCCACCAACACUGUUGGGUCUCUCUUGUUUGCCAUGAUUCGGUUCUCAACACUCUCAAACCGGUCGUUUGUUAUGAGCUGCAAAUGCAACAAUUAGCGAACCAUUCCUCAGUGAGGAACGUAAUUUCUAUCUACUACUAUGAUUGCAA